UUACUUUAAAAAAAAAACAAAUAGACAAACAAUAAAAUUAUAUAAUUGUAUAAUAACAUUAUUAGCCUAGUUAUAUCUUCUUUUAUUUUAUGUAAAUAAGAAGUGUUGUUCAUUUUGUUGUAUUUUUGUAUUUUAUUUUAUAUUCGAAAAAAGUAUUUACAACUGUUAAAUAAACAGAUUUACAUUCGAAAUGCCCCAAUGGCGCGAUUGAAUACAUAAUAAAAAAUUACCCAUAAAAUGAACAAUUUUCAUGAUAUUAUGUUUUUUCUAUUUUUUAUUAAUUAUUUGUUAUAGAUAUACAUUGGACAUUUGUCCGCAAUUAGUAUCUUAUACUUGUGUCUGCAACUCACAUGUUUUUUGUCAUUUCGUCAGCAAUUCGGAAACACCGAACCAUUCGAGAUAUAAAUAUAUAUAUGGUUUCAAAAAUCAAUUAAACGAAAAGGAAAAUACGCAUAUUUUACAUAUGGCGUAACGCUUCCAACCAAAGUGAAGUAAUGAAAAAUUUCACCAUAAUAAAACCAAUACCAUCAAAUAAUUGGUCAAGAAUAAAAAUGGGAUAAGUAUGUUUCACUAUCACUGUUUGCACAUUACAUACUAUACUAUAUCUAUGUGCAUUAGACAUAAUAUUAUAUAAAAUGAUAAAUAGAACAUUGAAAACUAUAUGGAGACAUUUAUAGUCCCCCCUGGAAUUUUGUUCCCACUUUAAGCAUUACUUAUACCAGUAUGCAUGAAAGGGGAAUACAAUUUUGGUGUGCGUGCUAAAAGGACUAAGCCACAAAUGUUAGCAAGUUAGCAGUACGUUUUAAUAUUAUAAUUCAGCGAUGCCUUCUCACUCCUCAGUUAGAAAAUUCAAUAUCGUUUUACAAACGGCAGUUAUAUGGACCUAAAAUUUGACAACUCACAACACUGUAAAAACGUCAAUCACAUAACUUCAGAGUCACUGGCCAAAAAAAGAGAUAAUGAUGUUAGUUGGUUGUUGUUUUAACACUUGAAACGUACUUAUACUCUACUCAAAAUAAUCAACAAUCAAAGAACAUUACGAAAUAUUCAGCUAAAUUACUCAAGAUUUAAAACCAAUAGUAUUAAUAGUGAUAAGACGUUAUCAAUGUAUUUAUAUAUACGA